rnacentral:rRNA from 1 species
AUGGUUCGUGUAUAUAUUUUACAGACACGUGAAAUCAAAGUUGGGGAUAAAGUAGCCGGAAGACAUGGGAAUAAAGGGAUCAUUUCCAAUAUUUUGCCUAGGCAAGAUAUGCCCUAUUUGCAAGAUGGAACACCCGUUGAUAUGGUCUUCAAUCCCUUAGGAGUACCCUCCCGAAUGAAUGUGGGACAAAUAUUUGAAAGCUCGCUCGGAUUAGCGGGGGAUCUGCUAAAGAAACAUUAUAGAAUAGCACCCUUUGAUGAGAGAUAUGAGCAAGAGGCUUCAAGAAAACUUGUGUUUUCAGAAUUAUAUGAAGCCAGUAAAGAAACAAAAAAUCCAUGGGUAUUUGAACCCGAGUACCCGGGAAAAGCAGAAUAUUUGAUAGAAGAACAGGCGACCCCUUUGAGCAACCUGUUCUAA